rnacentral:lncRNA from 1 species
AGACAGAAUCCGGGUGGGGAGGUCGGUCCUGCGGCUGCAGCUCUGAAGGGUCCCCGCUGUCAGCUUGGGAUGGCGCUGCGGGGUCAGCCCCGAGGGCACGUUCAGGGCCUUGGGACGCAGGAGCUGCUGUCUGGGAGCCCCCAAGCCCCCAUCCUGCGCACGUGGUGAGGCCCUUAAGAGUGCGACUCUCCCCCGAGGGCGAAGAGAAUCUGCAGCUCUGAGCCACGGGGCAGCUCUGGGUCUGAGGAUUUCUGGGGCCACUGGGCGGAACAAAGACUGGCGGGGACAGAGGAGGCUAGGGCAUCCCGAGCCCGAGUUAGGGGAACUCCCUCCAGAACAGGUGGAGGAGGAGCCUGGGUCUUGGUCCCAAGGAUUUAGGGGUGGCAGGGACAGCCCUGGGGACUGCGGAGUCUGAUGGAGGAGGCGGGAGGCGAGUGGGAGUCUCACACCUGAGAGGUCGGUUGAGGCUCACGGGAUCAGGUACAGAACUGGCCAAAGAGAACACAGGAAAGUCAUUUUGGAGACGUCCAGCCGGAAGUUCGAAGGGCAGUUUGGGGUGGGGAGCCUUUCAGAGGGGUUGGAGGUCUGCCGAGGCUGCGCAGGAAGGAGAUUGGAAGGGGGCUUUUGAGCCUCCAGUGAGUCUGUGGGCUCUUGUCUGGCUGGGGCCAGGCCAGGCCCUGGAAGCCUCACGGGGAAGGGGGGGGUCAUCUUAGGAGGGGCAGCUUCUCCGUGAUGAGAAUGGGGGAGACCGGGGUGGGCUCUCAGGGUCAGCCCCAGGGAGAAAUCGUGUUGGAGAGAAUGACCUGUGUUUUCGCUUGUGGGUCUGCAGGUGUGUGUGUGUGCCCUGCGUGUGUGCCCACGCGCGUGUGUAUUUGCUGGUGGGCCUGAGGUUUUUUGUUUUUUUUUUUUGUUUUUUUUUUCCAAGUAGGCCUGUGGGCUAAAAGGUGUCUCAAAGGUUUUGGAAGAAUGACAUGGAGAAUCGGAGGGUGCAGGAGUCUCCGAGGGGGUCACUGCCUUCCUGCAGGGUCCCUGCAGGUCUGUGGUCCUGUGGGACCAGCCCCCGUUCCCCAGCCACACUUGAAACAGGCAACUUGCCUCAGCUGCUCGGGAGCCUGAAGCUCUGUGACCUGGGGAUCUUCUUCUUCCAAAAUUGUCUUCCCUGGCAGACCUGGCCCAGAGCCAGGGCCAGGAAUGGUGGGGGAGGGACACUGGGGGAGCUCAGGGGUCAGAGGCCGGCUUGGAAGGUCCAGUGAAGCAGGGAAGGUCGGUGUGGGAGACGAGGUGGGGGACGAGGCCUCCUGAUGCUCCACCAAUAAUAAUAAAAUCAGAAUCGACAUAUAAAAGGUCUGACUCUGUGUCAGACCAUGUUUUAGGUCCUUGACCUGAACUUCAUCUUAUCUAAUCCUCAUGUUUAAUCAUUUAUUGCCUCCUUCUUAUGGUGGGGAAAUCCGACAGCUCAAGAAGUUAAGUAACCCCUGAAUUGGAGGUUGCAGGUAAAAUACAGGAUGCUUACUUAAAUGUGAAUUUUAGAUAAACCGUGAAUUACCUGUUAGUGUAAGUGUAUCCAAAACAUUUCAUGCGACCUGCCUAUACUUAAACGCAAUUUGCUCAAAUAAAUAAAAAAAGAUUUUUUUAUGUAGAUUGUCCCAUGAAGUGUUUGGACAUACUUAAACUAAAAAAUUAUUUGUACAUCUGAAAUUGAAAUUUCCAUUUGCUGUGUAUUUACUGUAUGAUGAUGUUGAAUUUGGCAAACUUGACCCCUGAGACCUCUCAGCCACUGACUGUCAGGCAGGAAUCCCCCCAAUCCCCCCCUCCCCUACACACACUGGCCAAGUCCUGCCCGGGGUGAACCUGGGGAGGAGGCAGGGUCCCAGGACCCCACAGCUGAGCCUGCUGCCAAGCACCUCCUGCAGGGCCCGCCCCUCCCCAGGGGCUGUGGGGAGGGGUCCACCGAGCAGCCCCCUCCCCUUCCCAGCAGCCCUGAGAGGCAGUCACUGAGCCUCCUGGACCAGAAGGGGGCCCAGGCCAGGCAAGGGCGGUGCUGGUCUGAACCACGUGGCCAAGCUGCCCCGGAGCCUUAGGACAGGGCUGGCAUGCGGCCCUGGCAGUGCCGGCCAGGAGGGCACUUACUGAGUGCCUGCUGUAUGCCAGACACCAGAGGCCCUCUGAUACCCGGUCGGCUGAGCUGCCCCUUCAGGGACCCGACGCUUGCCCUUGGAUGGGGGGACCGGAGGACUUGGGGGCCAUAGCUGCCCGUGUCCACCCCCAUGUGAGGGCAGGGCUGGGUCACCCCCGGCCAUCUGGCUGCACAGCCCAAGCACUCCCUGCUCUGGUCUCCUGCCCACAGGGGGUGCCUGUGGCAUCACGAUGCUGCCUCUCAGCACCAUCCGGAGCCAGGAACCGGAGGAGGUGAGGACCAAGCCGCCGGAGAGAAGAGCGCUGCCUUCUGAGAAACCUAAGGUUCGUCGUCGCCCAAGGAAGUCCUCCAGGAAGAAGGCGAGAAUGUCAGCCAGACGGGUGCCGGUUUGUCCCCUGGUGAGCCUGCUUCUUACCUCCCUUCCACCAGAGGCCCCUGGGCUCUGAAUAGUCAGGCACAGGCACCACCUUCUCUGCCCAGCGUGGAUCCUUUGCGGGCUGGUUGCUCCUUUGUCCGCCCCACGCCCCGGAUGUGGUCCCAUUCUCUGGGGGAUGGUUUCCUCAAGGAUGCUGCCCUCUUUCCUGCCUCCUCUUUCCUAACUCCAGCCUCUGCUCCAAUGUCACCUCCUCCAAGAAGCCUCCACCUGGACACUUCCUAUCCAUCAGGGGCUAAUGCCUGGCCUUGCUGAAUUUCUUCUGCAUUACUAAUGCUACCUGAGAGCGUAUUUUCUAUCUAUUGUCCAUCUUCUGUCUCCCCUACUAGAGUAGUUCUGUGAGUGCAGGACCCUCCUUGGUUGCUCAGUGACAGAUCCCUCCAGCAUAGACCAGAUAUAAGGAGGGGUAGGCAUUGUAUACACGCGGGCUGAAGAAAUGAAGGAAUGAAUUAGAGAGUGGUCCCUGCCGAGGCAGGCAGCUCUGGCUUUGCCCACCCGAGUGCAUUCCUCCUUCUGCUAACACCCUUGUUCUAUCCUGGAAACACCUGCGUCCACGUACUUGGGAUGAAUCUGAUCCCAGCCUCAAACCAGCUCCAGGUGUAACCUGACCAAUCAGAGCAGGCAAUGCCCCCGGCUUCACUGUGAUUGGUUCGGGGCUGAGCAUGUGACUCGGCCUUGGCCAUGAGGCGUCUGAUCCAUCUCUGGGGUUCCCGGCAGGCAGGAGGGGAGACGCGAGGGGCUGUGAAGGGACCAGGGAGGUGGAGGGCAGAGUCCGGGGAGGCGCGGGGUUCGGGUUCUGGGAAGAACGCCUUUCCCAUUAGUGCCUGCCGCAGUGCCAGGAAGGACUCAAAAAAAUCUUCUCAUUAGAAAAGAAGGUAAGAGUCUCUGAUUUUGCAAAAACAGUAGAAAGAUAAACACAUUCACCGAUUGUUAAGCCUUUUCUCUGUCCAGGUUUCCUCUCAUUAUGUAUGUCUGUAUGGACUUAGACAUUUUCUUUCACAAGUGUGGGAGGGUGGUAACCUUCCUGCAUUUAAUCCCAAUACACACGUUCAUCUCCUCACUGCCCUCAUGCCAGAUUUGCGAAUUUGCUACCUAUGGUCUGUUUGCUGUUCAUUUUCCUCCGACACAAGAUCCCCUCUAGGGCCGGGUGUGGUGCUUUGUAAUGUGCCUUUAGUUCUCUUUAAGCUGGAAAAUCUCCUCAGGCUUCCUUUGCCUCUUAUGGCACUGACAAUUUUGAAGUCCAGAGUCACACCUUGCUCCAUAUUCGUGGUUUAUUGUUUUUUUUUUUUAAUUGUUGUUGUUUGUUUUUCUUUUUUUCUUUUUUGCCCUUUCCCCAUUAAUGAGAUUCAGGUAAGCAAUGAUCUCUGGAACACCAGCUUGGUUAUGGCAUGUCUUCCUCAGGACAUCACAUCCCAGUACACAGCAGGCCCAUCUCUCAUCAUCAGGGAUACGAAUUUCGAUCCACUUGGCCAGGAUGCUUGUCCCAUUUCUCCACUGAAUACUUUCUGAUUUGUUAUUUCUACAUGUAACUAAUCAAUGAGAACUCAUGGAGAGAUAUUUGUAGAUGAACCAAGUAAUGUAGAAACACAGAGCAUUCUGAUGGGCCCAUUUCCGCCCUUGUGCCCAUGACUGAACCCAUCAUCCGCUGAGGCGUGGAAACCCCUAAAUCUGUCAGCCUGGGUCACGUGGCCAUGGAGUGUGUGGGGUAGAAGGUCCUUACCUUCUCCCAACCACAAGAACAGAAGCACAGGAUCAGGUAGUGGUUCUCAACCAGAGGUAGUUUACCUCCCAGGGGACACCUCCAACAUCUGGGAUCAUUUCUGCUUGUCACGUCUGAAGAGGUGAUGCUCUGGUACCUUGUGGGCAGAGGCCAGGCAUGGUAUUCAACACCCUGCAAUGCAAGCCCCCUCCCCCCACUGCAAGAAGCAUCUGGUCCCACAUGCUCACUACCGUGGAGUCUGAGGAACCCAGGAAUAGGGGAAGAUUGGUUCUGACGUGGUGAGGGCACUGAGCAGUGACAAAACCCUCCUGUCCACCCUAAGCCUCCAGCUGUGAGUGCCAGGCUAGUGAAGCUAAGGGCACACCUUAGCUUCCUCUGUGCCUCAGUUUGCUCACCUGUGAAAUAGAGCAGUAAGAACACCCUUCCUGGGAAUUACCAUGAGGAUAAAGUGAGCUCACAUUUAUACUUCCUUACAGUGGGGCCUGGAAUAUAAGCAUUUGUCAGGUAAAUGGUGGGAGAUGUCCGUCCCUGGGGAAGGGUCCAUCCUCACUCCUAAUCCUGACUCCCUGACACCCCAUCUCUCCAUUGUCAUGAGUGGGCAUGUUCGUGGGGCUCCCCACCUCCUUGUCCUUGUCUGGAAGAUGGAGAAGUAACGACAGAGGCCACUUCAUGAGAAUUAAAGGGGACCUGCCACGUCAUUCACGCAGAAGACUAAGCACCAGAUAACCGGGAGGUAGAAGGGUCCUCCUAGACACCACGACAGCUCCGUGUCGCUUACCAAGUGCCAGUACCAUGGGAGAGGCUUUAUCUUGGAAGGAAGUAUUUAAUUUUUUAGGAAAGCAGAUGGUUUUAAGAAACUAGCAAAACCAAAGUUGUCACAGCUCCCGGGUUUUCAGCUCUCACUAAGCGGCAAACAUUGUUUCAGCUCCAUUUCUUGGGUCCCCCUGUCCAGUCCUCAUGCUCCCCUCUGCGGGAGCAGUUCCUGAUAUUUCAUGAUACAGGAGUGUACACUGAGGCAGAAGCCAGGUCUCCUGCCCCAGGAUCCCCAGCUGUACGUGGCCCCUUCGGAGGGACUCAGCCCCAGGUGGGCUGACCCUGAUUCCAUAGGCUCAGCCCCCACACCUGGGGAUCGUGGGCUCCGCAGGGGAGUAAGACUCUCUUCCUUUUUCUCUGUUCUCUCCCCUUCCAGCCAAGUGUUUGCUUCACCUUUUACUUGGAAACGGAUGACUCUGACUCUGAACCGAAGUCUUCUCCUGAAACUCCGAAACCUAGCACAAGAUGCGCCUCCCCUCCGAAGGCUGCUGCAGAGUACCAGGAAAUCCAGGCGUGGGAAUGUCCCCUGUGCUGCCUCAGCAUUUUCUGCCUUUCCUAAGUCUCAUGACCCUCCACUUCCCACUGCUCUUGAAUGGGCACCCCCAAACCAUGCAUGCUGGGCUCCUGUGAUGUAAACCCCCAAAUACAGCUGCUUAAAUAAACGGAAGUAGAUGUCU